rnacentral:rRNA from 1 species
UCCAGACUCCUACGGGAGGCAGCAGUGGGGAAUAUUGGACAAUGGGGGAAACCCUGAUCCAGCGACGCCGCGUGAGUGAAGAAGUAUUUCGGUAUGUAAAGCUCUAUCAGCAGGGAAGAAAAUGACGGUACCUGACUAAGAAGCCCCGGCUAACUACGUGCCAGCAGCCGCGGUAAUACGUAGGGGGCAAGCGUUAUCCGGAUUUACUGGGUGUAAAGGGAGCGUAGACGGCAUUGCAAGUCUGAUGUGAAAGAUUGGGGCUCAACCCCAGGCCUGCAUUGGAAACUGUAAAGCUGGAGUACAGGAGAGGUAAGCGGAAUUCCUAGUGUAGCGGUGAAAUGCGUAGAUAUUAGGAGGAACACCAGUGGCGAAGGCGGCUUACUGGACUGUAACUGACGUUGAGGCUCGAAAGCGUGGGGAGCAAACAGGAUUAGAUACCCUAGUA